rnacentral:rRNA from 1 species
UGGGGAAUAUUGCACAAUGGGCGCAAGCCUGAUGCAGCCAUGCCGCGUGUAUGAAGAAGGCCUUCGGGUUGUAAAGUACUUUCAGCGGGGAGGAAGGGAGUAAAGUUAAUACCUUUGCUCAAUGACGUUACCCGCAGAAGAAGCACCGGCUAACUCCGUGCCAGCAGCCGCGGUAAUACGGAGGGUGCAAGCGUUAAUCGGAAUUACUGGGCGUAAAGCGCACGCAGGCGGUUUGUUAAGUCAGAUGUGAAAUCCCCGGGCUCAACCUGGGAACUGCAUCUGAUACUGGCAAGCUUGAGUCUCGUAGAGGGGGGUAGAAUUCCAGGUGUAGCGGUGAAAUGCGUAGAGAUCUGGAGGAAUACCGGUGGCGAAGGCGGCCCCCUGGACGAAGACUGACGCUCAGGUGCGAAAGCGUGGGGAGCAAACAGG